rnacentral:lncRNA from 1 species
UUUAUGAGCUGUAACACUCACUAUGAAGGUCUGCAGCUUCACCCCUGAAGCUAGCAAAACCGCGAACCCGCCGGGAGGAACGAACAACUCCCGACAUGUGGCCUUAAGAGCUGUAACACUCACUGCGAAGGUUUGCAGCUUCAUUCCUGAGCCAGCGAGACCGUGAACCCACCAGAAGAAAGAAACUCCGAACACAUCCAAACAUCAGAAGGAACAAACUCCAGACACGCUGGCUUUAAGAACUGUAACAUUCACUGAGAGGGUCUGCGGCUUCAUUCUUGAAAUCAGUAAGACCAAGAACCCACCAACUCAGGACACAGUGUGAUUUUCACAGCCGGAAAUUGACUUGGAAAUCCUUAAGUUUUUUUUAAUGCAGCUUUUGGAUAGCCAUAAAAAUCUUAUACCUUCCUUUAAUGUUAUUUAAAUUUUUGAAAUAAGUUCAGUAACAAGAAAACAAGAUGGACACAACAGUAACUUUAAAACGAUUUUCUUUAGAUCUUAAAAGAUACGUAUUUCAGCCAGGCAUGGUGGCUCACGCCUGUAAUCCCAGCACUUUGGGAGGCUGAGGCGGGCAGAUCACGAGGUCAGGAGAUUGAGACCAUCCUGGCUAACACGGUGAAACCCCGCCUCUAGUAAAAAUACAAAAAAAAAAAAAAAAAUUAGCCCGGAGUGGGGGCAGGCGCCUGUAGUCCUGGCUACUCGGGAGGCUGAGGCAGGAGAAUAGCAUGAACCCAGGAGGCGGAGCUUGCAAUAAGCCGAGAUUGUGCCAUUGCACUCCAGCCUGGGUGACAGUGUGAGACUCCAUCUCAAAAAAAAAAAGAUAUGUAUUUCUUCCUUUGAUUAUGUGGCUACAAUGUGAGCACUGAAUCUGCUUGCUGACGGCCAGCUUUUCACUCCUAAGGAAAUGGAGAAAACAGAGCCAGAGGUAGGCUACUCUCCAUGUCAAGCUUAUCUGCUGCUUUAUUUUCAAAUACCUUAAGACCCUUUCACCCUGACUCUGAUACACCCCAUAGCAGGCCAGGACCCUUCUUAUUCCAAAACCAUAGUUUUACAGACAAAGGGACAGUGAGACUCCAGUGACUUACUCUUAGCCACACAGCUAGUUGGCAAAGAAAGAAAACAGAAAUCGUGCUGAUGGAGAGGAAGAUUCAGAGGAGGAGGAGAAACAGGAUAAUGCAGGCUUAUAAUAAUUUGCUGUGGGAAAUCAAAUGAUGUGGGCAGCAACAAAGGGACUUAAGCAAAAAGAUUUUUUAGGAAAAGAGACAUAAGCAAAAAAGGGACUUCAGCAAAAAGAAUUUUUAGGAAAAGCAUUCUUGCUGCUGUAUGCAGAGUGCAAUAAAUAACCCAUGUCAUUAACCCAUGUCCUUAUCUCUGCACCUUUUGCUACCAGAACCUAAAAUAAUACCAAGAAAAUAUAUUUAAAGGUAAAAUCUGGUGGUGGUUUGUUUUCAUUUGAGUAAAUUUUCUAUGUAUAAUCAGUGAUUAACCCAUUUUAGGAAUGAAGUAGAAAUGAAGGGUUUUCUCCCCAGUGGUUAUAACAAACUUGAAGGCUCUAUGGCUAAAAGUACAAAUUCCCUUUUGUUGCUUCUUUGUUGUUGUUGUUGUUUCUGAGAUAGGGUCUUUGUGUUGUCCAGGUUGGAGUACAGUGGUGCCAUCACGGAUCACUGUAGCCUCAAUCUCCCAGCCUCAAUCAAUCCCCUCACCUGAGCCUCCCGAGUAGCUGGCAUGCAGGAAUGCAUCACCACACCUGGCUAAUUUUUGUAUUUUUAGUGGAGACGGGGUUUCGCCAUGUUGCCCAGGCUGAUCUUGAAUUCCUGGGCUCAAGUGAUCCACCCACCUUGGCCUCCCAAAGUGCUGGGAUUACAGGUGUAACUGCACCCGCCUAUAGUUUUUUCAAGGGCAAAAAAUUACAAGUUGAGCACUCAUGAGCUUAGAGUCUUUUGAAUGUUCUCCAAAUCAAAAGUCAAGUUUUAGUCCUACUUCCCCUAAGCAGAGAGUUCUUCCCAGCUUAGAGUUUCAUUUCAAAGAACUGAUGGCAAAGAUUUUUCAGGUACAGUUCUCAUAUUUGAAAGCUUCAUUCCUUCCCAGCACAACUGUGUGCAUAUUGACCUAAUACAGACCUGUGUUUUUGGUAGAUUCUCAGAAAAUGUUUGAUGGUGACCUUGGCCUUUGGGACUUGGCCACCACCCUUAGCUUUCAUAGCCUUUUCCCAGAGGGAACCAGAUGAAAAAGGAACUUCAAGCCUGGAAUUAUUCUGUUUAGCCACUUCUGUUGCUUACCAAAGGCUUUGCCAAUGAUAAUACUGAUAAAGGGCAACAUAAACACAUCUAUGUGUGAGUUGCCAUCUGAAACUGAAGUUAAACACACUUGGUGCUGACCAAUAAACUGUAGUGCUUUUUCAGAAGAAAAGAGAAUAUUCCUUUUCUCUUGGAGCCAUGGAAAACAGGCAAUAGUAUGAGUGUUCACUUCCACCUUCCACCCUUUCACUAUGAAGGACCCUCACCAGAUGGUGGCACCAUGCUCUCGGACUUCCCAGCCUCCAGAACUGGACGGGUAAAUUGAAGCAAAAAGCAGACAAGUUCUAUGGGAUUUGCUGGCAUUGAUUUCCCAGGAUGGCAAAGUGCUAAGAACUAAACCUUUAAAGCUAACAAAAUGUACUGAUGUCUUUGCAAAGUAUCCAAGACCAACAAGAAAGUAAUUUCCCACCUCACCCUACCACCACCCAGAAAAGGAGCACAGAGAUGGGGAAGAGAGUGGCUGCAUCUGGCAUCCAGCCAGAGGAGUCCGUGCAGGGAUUCUGGAUCCCUCUUCCCCCACCCCACUGCCCUUCCCCCUCCACCCCAGCGUUUUGGAGAAGCAAGAAACUGUGAUGAUGCAGCUCCCUCAAGUAUCACAUGAAGAUAGUGGAAAGAGCCUCCUGAGGUAAAUAUGCCAUGUAGACAGAAACAAGCAAUGGCUCAACAGCAAUGUAUGAGGUCCAAGGACCAGGACCAAAGGGAAAAACAGCCAUCUCACCAGACACCUGCCUACGACCAGAUGCGUCAUCUCCAAUAUUAGCUAACUCCCUGGAACCUGGACUCAAGGUGUGAAAUAAAGGUUAAUGGGAAACCGCAGGAGUCAAAAGGAGGGGGCAGGAUUAUUGAGGAUUCAGGCUGUUGAGAAAUGAAAGUUUGGAUCACUCCCCAGAUAAAGAACCUUGACCAUUUAAGGGCAAUGGAAAUACAGAAUAGGCAGUAGAAGAAGGAAGCCAUAGAUACCAACUAUGGCCUCUCAAUCAAUUACAAAACUGAGAAUUCUGACAGUUUUGUGUAUUUCCUCUUUGCAUGUGAUGUAUAUGUGUGUAUUUGUAUAUAUUAACCAUUUUCCUUUUUCUCUCUUCAUUAUUUUAUGAAAGUUGUUGAAUAUAAACUCUACAAUUUAGCCUUUAGGUAAGAGAAUAUUCAGUGGGACUUUGAUUUGAGGAGUAUUUAAGACAGCCAGAUGAGACUACGAUAACUGUUGGAACUGUGUGUCUCCUCAUUUGGGGAAAGGGGUGAGAACUCUGCAUUUCUCUGAAGAACAGAGUUGACUUUGUGUUAUACAGAGUUCAAAUAUAUAUAUAAAAUGGUGCAUGUGGAAGCUAAGAAGCCAAAGGAGUUCACCAAGACAGUUAUCAAUAUAUUGCCUCUCCGCUCCAAAUCCACCCUUCUUUGCCCUGUUCCACGAUACUAAUCUGGCUCCUCGGUCAGCCAGUGCAAUGUCAUCUGUUGCUGGUAGAGUGUAGGGGAGACACUACAAGGUAUAGUAAAGGGGUCAGAUGCGGUGUCUCAUGCCUGUAAUCACAGCCCUUUGGGAGGCAGAGGCAGGAGGAUCACCUGAGGCCAGGAGUUUGAGACCAGCCUGGACAACAUGGUAAAACCCCAUCUCUACUGAAAAUACAAAAUUAGCACGCACCUGUAAUCCCAGCUACUCGGGAGGCUGAGGCAGGAGAAUCACUUGAACCUGGGAGGUGGAGGUUGCAGUGAGCCAAGAUCGCAUCAUUGCACUCCAGCCAGGGAAAAAAGGCAAAACUCUGUCUCAAAAAAAUAAAUAAAUAAAAUAAAAUAAAACAAGGUAUAGCAAA